AGAUUUCCGGUUGAUCCUGCCGGACCCGACUGCUAUCGGAUUGGGACUAAGCCAUGCGAGUCAACUCCGCAAGGGGUGGCGCACGGCUCAGUAACACGUAGUCAACCUACCCUAGGGACGGGGAUAACCUCGGGAAACUGAGGCUAAACCCCGAUAGGCUAUAGCCUCUGGAAUGGGCUAUGGCUGAAAUCUACAUGGCCCCAGGAUGGGACUGCGGCCGAUCAGGUUGUUGGUGGGGUAAUGGCCCACCAAGCCUAUAACCGGUGCGGGCUCUGAGAGGAGGAGCCCGGAGAUGGGCACUGAGACAAGGGCCCAGGUCCUAUGGGGCGCAGCAGGCGCGAAACCUCCGCAAUGGGCGAAAGCCCGACGGGGUUAGUCCGAGUGGUCCCUGCUGAAGGGGCCUUUUGCCAGCUGUAAAAAGGCUGGCGAAUAAGGGGUGGGCAAGUUUGGUGUCAGCCGCCGCGGUAAUACCAGCACCCCGAGUGGUCGGGACGAUUAUUGGGCCUAAAGCAUCCGUAGCCGGCUUAGCAAGUCCUCCGUUAAAUCCAACGGCUCAACCGUUGGGCUGCGGGGGAUACUGCUGGGCUAGGGGACGGGAGAGGCGAGGGGUAUUCCCGGGGUAGGGGUAAAAUCCACUGAUCCCGGGAGGACCACCAGUGGCGAAGGCGCCUCGCUAGAACGU
rnacentral:rRNA from 1 species